AUGAGAACAUGACAUAAUUACAGAACCUUAUAUAAGAGCGGAGGAAGGACACGGCCUCAUUGUGCGCACCUGUUGGCUUGGUCACAGUUUGAAGCAAAUUUCAUUCUCUGUGGUAUCAUUUCUGAUUACAGUUUUCUCUCCAUCAUGAAGUUGACCAUCAUAAGAUUCUGCAUGUUGGCUUUGCUGGUCUCCCAGGCUCAGACUAACGUGACAACGACUGUGACAACUGACUUGGCAACAUCUCAUAAUACUUCAGUUGCAUGGACAAAUUCAACAACUGUCAAGAUUUCAACUACAACUCAACCAGCUGUUCCAACAAUCAAUAUUACUUUACCAGCAAUAACGAGCAAGAAUACUCCAGAUUCAACUCAAGCCAAUGGGACGACUUUGCAGCAAAAUGUGACAACUCCAUCAGAUCAGCCAAACACAAUGUCUCCAUCUCCAAAGCCUACCAUGAGUCAAACAACUGAUUUUUCAAGCAGAAAGACCGAUACGACCACAUUGACAAAUUCCUCAACGCCAAUGAAUGCCACCAUGACAACAGUAGGACAGACCACAAUUGGGACAACUACGUCGUCCCGUGACUCACUGACAGUAACCAUCAUCAACUAUAUUCUACCCGUCCUGCUGUACAUGAUGUUGAAUUGAGCAUUAUUUGAUUCAGUCCUGGAUUAAAGCUAAUUUGGAAUGUUUUGUAAAGUAAUGUAGAAUAAUAGAAUAUAAGUAAUAUAUAAAAGUACAGACUAUAUGUAUCUAGUGAGCAUAUAACUGACUAUUACAUUUAUAGUAGCAUAAGCCAAAACUGAAUAACAGAUAAUAGUUUUAUUGAUUGAAUGUUUGUUAUGAUUGCACACACCUGCUUGAUACAUCACAAAUGAGGACUUCCUUAAAAAGCACAUAAGAUUUCAAAUGAAAAAUGCAUAGUUUAAAAUAAUGUCUGAAAUAAAGAAGAAGAAAAAAUGA